rnacentral:rRNA from 1 species
GACGAACGCUGGCGGCGUGCCUAAUACAUGCAAGUAGAACGCUGAAGAGAGGAUCUUGCUCUUCUUGGAUGAGUUGCGAACGGGUGAGUAACGCGUAGGUAACCUGCCUUGUAGCGGGGGAUAACUAUUGGAAACGAUAGCUAAUACCGCAUAACAAUGGAUGACACAUGUCAUUUAUUUGAAAGGGGCAAUUGCUCCACUACAAGAUGGACCUGCGUUGUAUUAGCUAGUAGGUGAGGUAAUGGCUCACCUAGGCGACGAUACAUAGCCGACCUGAGAGGGUGAUCGGCCACACUGGGACUGAGACACGGCCCAGACUCCUACGGGAGGCAGCAGUAGGGAAUCUUCGGCAAGGGGGGCAACCCUGACCGAGCAACGCCGCGUGAGUGAAGAAGGUUUUCGGAUCGUAAAGCUCUGUUGUAAGUCAAGAACGGGUGUGAGAGUGGAAAGUUCACACUGUGACGGUAGCUUACCAGAAAGGGACGGCUAACUACGUG